AACGAACGCUGGCGGCAUGCCUAACACAUGCAAGUCGAACGAGACCUCCGGGUCUAGUGGCGCACGGGUGCGUAACGCGUGGGAACCUGCCCUUAGGUUCGGAAUAACUCCCCGAAAGGGGUGCUAAUACCGGAUAAUGUCUUCGGACCAAAGAUUUAUCGCCUUUGGAUGGGCCCGCGUUGGAUUAGCUAGUUGGUAGGGGAAAAGCCUACCAAGGCGACGAUCCAUAGCUGGUCUGAGAGGAUGAUCAGCCACACUGGGACUAAGACACGGCCCAGACUCCUACGGAAGGCAGGAGUGGGGAAUAUUGGACAAUGGGCGAAGGCCUGAUCCAGCAAUGCCGCGUGAGUGAUGAAGGCCUUAGGGUUGUAAAGCUCUUUUACCCGGGAUGAUAAUGACAGUACCGGGAGAAUAAGCUCCGGCUAACUCCGUG
rnacentral:rRNA from 1 species